CCGCUCACCUCGGGGUGCGUCGCACAAGGGCGCUGAGAUCACACCCGUUGAACCUGAACCGGCUAACACCGGCGGAGGGAAGGUUAUGGAUAAGACC
rnacentral:ncRNA from 1 species